AAGUCGUAACAAGGUUUCCGUAGGUGAACCUGCGGAAGGAUCAUUAACACGUAUCCAACGUUAAACCCCCGUGCAUUUUAACCCUGCUCUCUUCGCCUUGACAAAGCAAUCUCUGGUAAAUCACGCCAUAACAGUUUUUGAUUCAGAGACUUCUUCGAGACGCGUGGAUGGAGCGGUAGAGCAAUUAGACUUGGUUUCCGAAAGGAUAACUGAUAUUUACUCAGAUCGUUGACCCUCACGGUCAACGGACAGGUCUCUGGGGCCUUGCGCUCCCAAUAUUAACCCCCCCUGUAGGUGAAAGUAGUGCUGCGUAAAGUAGGCACACAAAAACGAACAACUGUUAACAAUGGAUAUCUUGGUUCUC
rnacentral:misc_RNA from 1 species